rfam:Canis lupus familiaris chromosome 13, whole genome shotgun sequence.
CUGACCACACUCCACCGGGCCUUGUUCCGAGGUACCUGGGUGUCUUUGGCACACACCAGUCAUCAUGAUGGUUCUUGGUAAGGGGGGGCUGGGCUCCCAGGUUCUCUCCUUUGAGGGGCCAGUUGGCAGCCCUUUUGGUGUUUGCAGUUUGCCAUGAGGGACACUGAGAGUUGAAGAU